rnacentral:rRNA from 1 species
GGAAGGUGCAAGCGUUAAUCGGAAUUACUGGGCGUAAAGCGCGCGUAGGCGGUUAGAUAAGUCGGGUGUGAAAGCCCCGGGCUCAACCUGGGAACUGCAUUCGAUACUGUUUGACUAGAGUGUGAUAGAGGGAGGCGGAAUUCCGCAUGUAGCGGUGAAAUGCGUAGAGAUGCGGAGGAACACCAAUGGCGAAGGCAGCCUCCUGGAUUAACACUGACGCUGAGGUGCGAAAGCGUGGGGGGAGCAAACAGGAUUAGAUACCCUGGUAGUCCACGCUGUAAACGAUGUCAACUAGCCGUUGGGAGCAAUUUGGCUCUUGGUGGCGCAGCUAACGCGAUAAGUUGACCCGCCUGGGGAGUACGGUCGCAAGAUUA